AGGCGGCGUACCGACGUAACCCGACUAAGGGGGAGGCAGCCGACCACGGUAGGGUCAGCGACUGGGGUG
rnacentral:rRNA from 1 species